rnacentral:rRNA from 1 species
UACGAAGGGGGCUAGCGUUGCUCGGAAUUACUGGGCGUAAAGGGCGCGUAGGCGGACAGUUUAGUCAGAGGUGAAAGCCCAGGGCUCAACCUUGGAAUUGCCUUUGAUACUGGCUGUCUUGAGUUCGGGAGAGGUGAGUGGAACUGCGAGUGUAGAGGUGAAAUUCGUAGAUAUUCGCAAGAACACCAGUGGCGAAGGCGGCUCACUGGCCCGGUACUGACGCUGAGGUGCGAAAGCGUGGGGAGCAAACAGG